AUCAUUACACAGGUGCACCUUGUGCUGUGGACAAUAAAAAGCCACUCUAAAAUGUGCAGUUUUGUCACACAACACAAUGCCACAGAUGUCUGGGUUUUCUGCAUGUUUUUUUUUUUUUUGCCUGUGCGGGAGAACAGGGCAACUUUUUAAUCAGUCCGCUGUACUUGCUCAAUAAAUGCUGCAUGUGUAUUUUCUUCCUAUUGUUGAAUCUCUGCCCCAAUAAACAACUGAUCCCAAUAUAGUAGGCAAUCACAUUUAACAACUCUCACAAACAUGAUACUUUGUACCGUGUUCAACUGAUAUGGAGUUACAGGAAAUGUGUUUCCUUGUGGCCAUAUGAGCCAACAGUAUAAAAGUGCUCCCUGUUGCUUGACUAAAGAGAAGCGACAGAGAUAACCUGGUAUUCACUUUGACACUUUCUGACAGGAAACAUUAGUGUAACAGAUUAGUCCACCUAUUCUACUCCAUUAAACUUUGAGGGAAUCAUCAGUUCAUCACUAAGUGCUGUUUUUAACAACAAAGGGAUCUCGUCACCAUGGCAAUGUUUACAAUUUCCCUGCUUCUCUGUGCUGCGUUUGCUCUGAGCGGUGCAACAGAGGUUACAACUGUCACGGAAAACCACAUGGAACAAAGCUCACCUGCUGGUGACAAACGCUGGAAUGAUAUUCAAUGUGGAUCUAUAUUUCCAUCUGUGUGCUCCAAAAGGUUGUGUUAAAUCUGCCAUCAUAACAUCAACUGAACCACUUUUUUUGUCAUUACAACUGUACAGUAUUAUUGAAGAAUGUAAAUAUAUGGUAGGCCUAUAGUUUUUGUGAAUCAUAGUCGAGCAUGAGAUUUAACACAAGGGGGAUUUUCUAUAAUGUAAAUAGGCUGUCGUCAAAUUUUUCAAUGAUGCUAAUCAUGUAAAAUGUCAUAGUGAAGUUUUGCUACUAAUAAAUAAUUUCCUAAUAUUUUGUGUAGAUGUUGUCAGUGCAUUGCAUCACCAAUGAUUUACCGUUCCUAGGCUUAGCUUGAUGUGCAACAAUAAACACAGCAUUUACAC
ensembl:lncRNA